rnacentral:rRNA from 1 species
CAAAACUUUCAACAACGGAUCUCUUGGUUCUGGCAUCGAUGAAGAACGCAGCGAAAUGCGAUAAGUAAUGUGAAUUGCAGAAUUCAGUGAAUCAUCGAAUCUUUGAACGCACAU